rnacentral:rRNA from 1 species
UACAGAGGUCUCGAGCGUUAGGCGGAAUCACUGGGCUUAAAGCGUGUGUAGGCGGAUCGGUAAGUACCUUGUGAAAUCCCACAGCUUAACUGUGGAACUGCUUGGUAUACUGCCAGUCUUGAGCCAGCUAGGGGCUACCGGAACAAAUGGUGGAGCGGUGAAAUGCGUAGAUAUCGGGAGGAACACCGGUGGCGAAGGCAGCCUCCUGGGCCAGCACUGACGCUCAUGCACGAAAGCGUGGGGAGCAAACAGG